rnacentral:lncRNA from 1 species
UUUAUUUUGGUCGAUCUCUCUUGAACUGCACGCAACUUUUCCCUAUCCUCCUAUAAGUAGUCCACUGAGAGUAGGGAGCUCUAGUACUCGUUGUCUUACUCGUUAUACUAGUUAGACUCACUUCAAGUAUUCCGUUCGUUCACUUCAAGCUCGAAGAUAUACGUAUCUUUUCGUUCAACUCCUUUCGUUUAUUCCACUCGCUCUUUCCAGCUCUGAAAGCAAGGAGUAUAGUAUCGAACCGGCCAGCACGCACUAUCGGAUCAGCCCCUUCCUUUCUCUUGGAACCGAAGCGGGAACUGGGAAGGUUGUCAGAUAACUCUCCGAACUCUUACUUUUCUAUCUCGUGUGCAAGAUAUAGUGUAUGACCUGCAACUGGGUACACUAGAAGUUUUCCUUCAUCCUUUGGGAAUCAAGACAUUCAAUGAAUGAAAAGUGAAAAACUUGUAGAUAAAUGGUUUAUACAGAUGACGAUAAGACUUUCCAAUCAGUAGCUGGGCUAGGGCUUAUUCUGAUUCACUUGCUAUGGCAUUCGUAGCAUC